rnacentral:rRNA from 1 species
GAUGAACGCUGGCGGCGUGCCUAAUACAUGCAAGUCGAGCGAACAGACGAGGAGCUUGCUCCUCUGACGUUAGCGGCGGACGGGUGAGUAACACGUGGAUAACCUACCUAUAAGACUGGGAUAACUUCGGGAAACCGGAGCUAAUACCGGAUAACAUGUUGAACCGCAUGGUUCAACAGUGAAAGACGGUCUUGCUGUCACUUAUAGAUGGAUCCGCGCCGCAUUAGCUAGUUGGUAAGGUAACGGCUUACCAAGGCAACGAUGCGUAGCCGACCUGAGAGGGUGAUCGGCCACACUGGAACUGAGACACGGUCCAGACUCCUACGGGAGGCAGCAGUAGGGAAUCUUCCGCAAAGGGCGAAAGCCUGACGGAGCAACGCCGCGUGAGUGAAGAAGGUCUUCUGAUCGUAAAACUCUGUUAUUAGGGAAGAACAAAUGUGUAAGUAACUAUGCACGUCUUGACGGUACCUAAUCAGAAAGCCACGGCUAACUACGUG